rnacentral:rRNA from 1 species
AUUGAACGCUGGCGGCAGGCCUAACACAUGCAAGUCGAGCGGAUGAAGGGAGCUUGCUCCUGGAUUCAGCGGCGGACGGGUGAGUAAUGCCUAGGAAUCUGCCUGGUAGUGGGGGAUAACGUCCGGAAACGGGCGCUAAUACCGCAUACGUCCUGAGGGAGAAAGUGGGGGAUCUUCGGACCUCACGCUAUCAGAUGAGCCUAGGUCGGAUUAGCUAGUUGGUGGGGUAAAGGCCUACCAAGGCGACGAUCCGUAACUGGUCUGAGAGGAUGAUCAGUCACAGUGAAACUGAGACACGGUCCAGACUUAUAGGGGGGGGAGGUGUGGAGAAUAGUGGAAGGUGGGCGAAAGCCUGAUACAGCCAUGCCGCGUGUGAAGAAGGUCUCCGGAUUGUAAAGCACUUUAAGUUGGGAGGAAGGGCAGUAAGUUAAUACCUUGCUGUUUUGACGUUACCAACAGAAUAAGCACCGGCUAACUUCGUG